rnacentral:lncRNA from 1 species
GGGCUAUAACCAGUGUUAAAUCUCGUUUAGCCUAAAGCUGCCUCCUUACAUAUUUUAAGUUUGGCCUAAAGGUUUCUCUGUACAUCGUAAACUAUAACCUAAAUGGACUUGUAAACAGACUGUAGCCAACGCUUGUGGCAAUCACUGAGUUUUGGCUAAUCAAAGGUGGCCAACUGUUCAAACUGUGUUCAGAUAAGACAAACACCAAUCUGUAACCAAUCUGGCUGGUUUCUAUAUCUCACGUGUGUUUUCUGUACUUCAUUUUCCUUUCUGUCCAUAAAUCUUCCACCACGUGGCUGCACUGGAGUCUCUGAGCCCACUCUGGCAUGAGAGGCUGCCUGAUUCUUGAAUUGUUCUUUGCUCAGUUAAACACUGUGAAACUUACCUGAGCUAAAGUUUUCCUUUUAACACUGAGCAUCCUGUAUUUUAUCUGUUAACCCUGGAUUGAUAUUUACAACUUCUUUCUUCCAUACCCAUUCUAUGUUCCUUUGGUUCUUUUACUUCAUGAGGUGACCCAAACUUCAUUCCUGAAGGGUCUGAGUCCUUGGUUAUUCUGCUUGUAUUGAGUCACUUGAGGCUUUCAUUAACACUGUCACUGAACCUGGCAAUCCUCAGAGAUAUUUCAGGGGAUCCCCUGGAUACGAUGGACUCCUUGUCUCCGUUGUAUGGCAGCAACAGCUUCUCGGUGGACAGUCAGGGUCAGUCUUCCUCUUAGAGCUCUUGGUCCUGAGGCAAAGCGACAGCGGGGCAGCCUUUACUUCCGGUUCAAAAAAAGCUAUGCAGUGUCCAUUCCUGGCGGCAUUCUCCCUUGGACACUGAGGCCUCUGAACCUUCAAUGGAAUGGGAAGACAAUAUUUUGUCAGAGGCUUUCAGGUAGGAGGACAAUGGUAGCACUGUAGGUCCCCAGUGUCGCCUAGAAAAACAAUAUGGAAUGAGGAGAAAAGAUAAAAUUAUGCAACAGCAAGCCCUCAGGAUAACUUGGAGACAAGAAUGCUCAAACUUAAAAAGAACAAGAAAAACAAAUAACAUAGAAAUUACCUGGCCGGGCGUGGUGACUCACGUUUGUAAUCCCAGCACUUUGGGAGGUUGAGGUGGACAGAUUCCUUGAGCCCAGGAGUUCGAAACUAGCCUGGGCAACAUGGUGAAAACCUGUCUUUACAAAAAAUACAAAAAUUAGCUGGGUGUGGUUGUGUGCACCUGCAGUUCUAGCUACUUGGGAGGCUGAGAUAUGAGGAUUAUUUGAGCCUAGGAGGUCCAGGCUGUACUGAGCUUUGAUUGCACCACUGCACUCCAGCCUGGGUGACAGAGUGAGACAAGAAAGAAAGAAAAAAGAAAGAAAGAGAAGAGAAGAAAAGAAAGAAAAAGGAAAAACAAAUGGCAGCUCAGACUUUCCUUCCCACGCACCCAUUCCAGCCCCACCUGCCACAAGACUGGCUGAGGAAAACUGGGGCAAAGGAGAGGAGGGAGUUGUAAUGGGGCUUAAGCUUGAUCUAAGACCUCACCAAAAACACUAAGUACACCUUGAGCCUGAAAAUGUUCAAAAGUGUCUGCAGUAGUGUCAGAGCUGGGACAAUAGGUGGGAGGUUUAAAAGUACACGUGUGAGCCACUGCGCCCAGCCCAAUCAUUGAAUUUCAUAAAAUGUUAUAUCUGUUGAUCACUGAGAGAUGAGGAGGCAACCCACCUAUACACUUGUCUGACGUCUGCAUGAGCUGAAUAACACACCGGCACUGACCAGCCAAUCACCACUAGUCUUCGAAAGCAGUGAUGUCCUAAUCAUGAUGCCCAUCUGUUAUUUAUGUCAUUUUUUUGGACUAAAGAGCCAGC